UGGCAUUAAGUACAUUGAGAUUGUUUUGUAACUAUCACCACCAUCCAUCUCCAGAACUCUUUCCUCUUUCCAAAUUGAAACUCAGUACUCAUUAAACAACACGAAAUCCCCAUUUCCCUCCUUCCUUCAGCUCCUGGAAACCACCAUUCUACUGUCUGUUUCUAUGAAUUUGACUGUCCUAGGUACCUCAUAUAAGUGGAAUUAUAUAAUAUUUGUCCUUUCGUGACUGGCUUAUUUCAUUUAGUGUAAUGUCUUCAAGGGUUAUCCAUGUUGUAGAAGGUGUCAGAAUUUCCUUCCAUUGCAGUAUACACCACACUUUGUUUAGUUAUUCAUCCGUGAUGGACACCUGAGUUGCUUCUGUCUUUUGGCAGUUCACACCCUCUUCUUAACCGUCUUGACCUGCAAGUGACACCUGUCUCUUCUGAUCACAUUCCACAGGAGGACGUAUGACAUAGCCCCACCUACAUGCAAGGGGAGCCAGGAAGUGUAAUCCCUGGCUGGGCUGCCUUGUCUCAGAAACCAUUAAGCCUAUGGAAGGUCUCUGGAUUUGAUGGCAAAUAGCAGCAGAAAUGUGGAAAAGAUCAAAGUGAUGUCAAGGUUGAUCUCUGAGUUUGGCAGGGCUGAACUCAAACAUCAUUCGCCAUGGACCCACAGUGUCUUUAGUAGCUGAGUAGGGUCAUUCCCCUGUGAUAUGUGCACUCAAUUGCUAGCCAGUUUUGAAGAUGUUGAGUAUCUGGUUUCCCCUUCCCCACACUGGCCCUCACUGAGAUCUAUUUCUAAUAUUAUGAAAGUCAUACAUUAUCAUCAUAAACUAAUCAUAAAUGUCAGUGUGCUACAAAAACUUAUUCAGAAAACAUUCAGAUUCUCCCAUCAACAUAUGCCACUAUGCUGGCAAAAGCUCUGAUUUAAAACACUUAUUUCAUUUUCCUCUCUGAUUUUGUUCUAGUCUUCAAAAUGAUUUCAUACAACAAAGCACUGAGUUCCUUAGUUCCUCUGACCCCUGCCAGAUCUGAAGCUGUGAUGUUCAAAACUCAGGGCGGAGUCAAUCUUAUGACUGAGUUUCAUAAGAGUCUAAGCCGCUCAUCAACAUACUGUGGCAGAGUAAGCUUUCUGGGUUCCAGAAUUUAUUUUGAGUGGGUUGAGGGAGUUGAGAAAUGGCAUGGGAGGCCUAAAGAUAAAAGGACUUUUGAAUGAAAGUUAUAGGAAAGUGGAUUUGAGAUCAAAACAAGCGAAGGUUGACCAUAGUUGGAACCAUUUAAGAUUGGUGGGGGUAGUGGGCUUCCGGUUCUUAACCAAGGCCAGGCAGAGGUAUGACAACAGUCAGGGGUUCUAAACGGGAUGGGAGGUUGGAUUAGAUGAGCCUUCAACCUUUGUGUUGAACUAAAAUCCUAGCUCUGCUUUCAACUCCUAGACUCCCUUUUAUCAUUGCUAAAUUGGAAAGAGGGAGCAACUGAGAGUCCCUGCUGGUCAUGCCUGGGGUGCCCCAGACCACAGCACUGAGCCUCAAAGGCAAGUGAGCAUAGUGUUGGGAGUUGAGCUUCUGGAUCCAUCAACUCCAUCUGAUGACUUGGAAGUUCCUUCAGUUCCCGACACUGGAGUCCAGCAAGGCUGGUUUGUCUUGUUUUAAUUAUUAUUUAGAUGACUAUUUGGCUCAUACCUGAGUAAGGUUCGAAUCAAGUCAGACCUGUUAAUUGAAUCAAAGUUAUAUAAUCACAUUUGGGCACUUAAAUGUAAACCAAUUAUGUUGGAGCCCAAGUAUCUUGUACUCAAGAGGGAGUUCUAAUAAGUGCUGGGAAUGUAUGCUAAUGCACAAAGCCUAACCCCCAGAGUGGAGGGUGGAGCACUCCAGGGCACUCCUGUUUCGGUGACAUUGUUGUAAUAGUUAGCACUCUGGGCGCAGUCUGGGAAGAUACUGGAAACAUCUCAAACAAGUACGACAUCCAUUCCACCCAAGCCCAUGGAACCCAUUACAUUUGGAACAUGUCUUUCUGUGGCGUUUGGCUUGGCUUAUAAAUGUACUAUCAGAAUCUGUGGGAGGCCUUCACAAGAAGACCUUUCUUGGCCUUUCUGGUUAUCAGCAUUCCCUCCACCUCUUUCUUAACAAACAUGCCGUAAGGCCUGAUCAGGCAUUUAGUUUUUCCAUUUGGACCUUUUUCUAGUUCCUAAUCUCAACCCCAAUGCCUCCUAAUCUUGUACUUCUUCAAAUAUUGGCCCCCCCUCUACUAUGGGAGAGAGAGGAAAGUAGGGAGGAGAAGGAGGAAAAGUUAUUGAAUUGAUAUGAGGGUAGUCAACCUAAAGCAACAAUCAGGAGGAAGGCACUGGACUUGAGUUUGAAGUGUUUGUCACUGAACUCUCUCAAACUCAUCCAGGCUAACUAGCCUCAGAGGGCUUCUAGCCCAUAGUCUUCUUGUAUUUUCUGCCCUCCUCACUUGAAGAGGGAGGGAACCAGAUGUCCAGGCUCUGUCCAAUGUUAAGAACUGGCCUGGCAGGCUUUGUUGGGACCAUCCAGCCUUGAAAGCCUCACAACCAAACGCCAUCACAGGCACUUUCUGCCCUUAGCCCUUGUCUGUGUCUCCUACAUGAACUCAGACUGCCUCUGAAGAGGGACAUUCUAGGGAGAGUUUCAUCUUCAUCACCAUCCUGGAUAGGGAACGCUUCCAGACUCAGAGUUGCAAAAGUCAGGGAGAGGUUGCUCACUGGAGGUGGAGUCCUUUGGCCAGGUUUCACUGUAAACACAUGGCUAAAAUGUGUUGCACAUGGACAGGCAUGCUAGUGUGUCCUGUAUAUAUGCUAGUGUGUCUCAUACAGCUUCUGGCUAAAGGACAUUGACCUCAGCAAGGCCAAAUGAGGCAUCAGGAUGAACUCUUCCAAUAGACUUCAUUAGACCCACAGAAGACUGACCUUUGCCUGACUUUGGAUUACCCCUUUCUUGCCAGGAAUUAUGUCCAAUGACUGUAACUGGAACUAGAGGUCUUGAUAGCCACACUUUGCUUGGUGUGGCUUCUCAGUCUUUUGAGACACGGCUAUCAAGGGCUCAUGUUUAUUCCAGGUCAUCCCUUUACCCCUUUCCUCCAGGGGCAUCUAUGGCAACAAAAGAUCAUGACAUCUGGCAGCACUGGCGGGACUAUUUAGUUUAGGCAGGAAUGUGAGUGUUAGCAUGUCAGAGUACAUCUGAGAAAACAUUCCAAACCAACCUUUCCACACUGGGAACUCAACCCCCAGGAAUCACCAAAGAUAAGGGCAACAGUCUUAUCUCUCGGAGGGAAGUUCAGGGUAAAGGCUGCUCCUGCUGUGGACCAGAGCUCAGGGGAGAAGAAGGCUCAGGCGGACCCUGCCUGUCCACUUGACGAACUUCCACAAAUGCCACUCUGGGGACUGAGGCAUACGAAGUGGGGAAGAAAAUACCAGUCUUGCCCUGGAGCUCUGGGAUGGUGGCUGUACACCCCUAAGGAUGCCAGCAGAACUGAAUUGUGGCCUAUGUGUGUUUGGGAAUUGGGAAAUAAGGAGAUAGAGGGACAGCAGGCAGGG